rnacentral:rRNA from 1 species
UACGUAGGGGGCUAGCGUUGUCCGGAAUCAUUGGGCGUAAAGCGCGUGUAGGCGGUCCGGUAAGUCCGUUGUGAAAGUCGGGGGGCUCAACCUCGGAUGCCGGUGGAUACUGUCGGGCUUGAGUACGGAAGAGGCGAGUGGAAUUCCUGGUGUAGCGGUGAAAUGCGCAGAUAUCAGGAGGAACACCAGUUGCGAAGGCGGCUCGCUGG